GAUGAAGAACGUAGCAAAAUGCGAUAAGUAAUGUGAAUUGCAGAAUUCAGUGAAUCAUCGAAUCUUUGAACGCACAUUGCGCCCGCCAGUAUUCUGGCGGGCAUGCCUGUUCGAGCGUCAUUUCAACCCUCAAGCCCCCGGGUUUGGUGUUGGGGAUCGGGCUGUACUCCAGCCCGGCCCCGAAAUCUAGUGGCGGUCUCGCUGCAGCCUCCAUUGCGUAGUAGCUAACACCUCGCAACUGGAACGCGGCGCGGCCAAGCCGUUAAACCCCCAACUUCUGAAUGUUGACCUCGGAUCAGGUAGGAAUACCGCUGAACUUAAGCAUAUCAAUAAGCGGAGGA
rnacentral:misc_RNA from 1 species